rnacentral:rRNA from 1 species
AGAGUUUGAUCCUGGCUCAGAUUGAACGCUGGCGGCAUGCCUUACACAUGCAAGUCGAACGGCAGCACGGGUGCUUGCACCUGGUGGCGAGUGGCGAACGGGUGAGUAAAGUAUCGGAACGUGCCUGGUAGUGGGGGAUAACUAGUCGAAAGACUAGCUAAUACCGCAUACGAUCUAAGGAUGAAAGCAGGGGACCUUCGGGCCUUGUGCUAUCAGAGCGGCCGAUAUCUGAUUAGCUAGUUGGUGGGGUAAAAGCCCACCAAGGCGACGAUCAGUAGCUGGUCUGAGAGGACGACCAGCCACACUGGAACUGAGACACGGUCCAGACUCCUACGGGAGGCAGCAGUGGGGAAUUUUGGACAAUGGGGGCAACCCUGAUCCAGCAAUGCCGCGUGAGUGAAGAAGGCCCUCGGGUUGUAAAGCUCUUUUGUCAGGGAAGAAAAGGCUGUGGCUAAUAUCCACAGCUGCUGACGGUACCUGAAGAAUAAGCACCGGCUAACUACGUGCCAGCAGCCGCGGUAAUACGUAGGGUGCAAGCGUUAAUCGGAAUUACUGGGCGUAAAGCGUGCGCAGGCGGUUUUAUAAGUCUGAUGUGAAAUCCCCGGGCUCAACCUGGGAACUGCAUUGGAGACUGUAAGGCUAGAGUGUGUCAGAGGGGGGUAGAAUUCCACGUGUAGCAGUGAAAUGCGUAGAUAUGUGGAGGAAUACCGAUGGCGAAGGCAGCCCCCUGGGAUAACACUGACGCUCAUGCACGAAAGCGUGGGGAGCAAACAGGAUUAGAUACCCUGGUAGUCCACGCC